rnacentral:rRNA from 1 species
UACGUAGGGUGCAAGCGUUGUCCGGAAUUAUUGGGCGUAAAGAGCUCGUAGGCGGUUUGUCGCGUCUGCUGUGAAAACCCGGGGCUCAACCCCGGGCCUGCAGUCGAUACGGGCAGACUAGAGUGCGGUAGGGGAGACCGGAAUUCCUGGUGUAGCGGUGAAAUGCGCAGAUAUCAGGAAGAACACCCGUGGCGAAGGCGGCUCUCUGGGACGGUACUGACGCUGAGACGCGAAAGCGUGGGGAGCGAACAGG